AAAUACUUGGCAUUUGAGACUCAAAUUUGGCUUAGAACUAGCCCAGAUAUGAGGUCAAACUCAAGAGGCAUGCACAUGAAGGACAAUUUUGACCUUUUGAGCUUAUUUAGACUAUAAGUGGGCCAAAUGGACCCAGAAGAAGCCCAAACCAAAACCAUAGCUAACUACUUUAGGAACACAUAAAGUAUAGGUUUUCCCAAAAAGAUCAAGAAUAAUACAAGUUAUAGAGUUUUGAAGUAAGGGUUUGGGCAUGCACCUAACUUUGAUUGUAGUUUGGACCUUUUGGGCCUUAGGUGGACCUUAGAUGGGCAAAAUGUGGCUCUUUUGAGCCCAAAUUUGGUAGGUAAGUAGGUGAACCACGGAAAGAAAGU
rnacentral:lncRNA from 1 species